rnacentral:rRNA from 1 species
CAAGUCGAGCGGAACGAGUUAUCUGAACCUUCGGGGGACGAUAACGGCGUCGAGCGGCGGACGGGUGAGUAAUGCCUAGGAAAUUGCCCUGAUGUGGGGGAUAACCAUUGGAAACGAUGGCUAAUACCGCAUAAUGCCUACGGGCCAAAGAGGGGGACCUUCGGGCCUCUCGCGUCAGGAUAUGCCUAGGUGGGAUUAGCUAGUUGGUGAGGUAAUGGCUCACCAAGGCGACGAUCCCUAGCUGGUCUGAGAGGAUGAUCAGCCACACUGGAACUGAGACACGGUCCAGACUCCUACGGGAGGCAGCAGUGGGGAAUAUUGCACAAUGGGCGCAAGCCUGAUGCAGCCAUGCCGCGUGUGUGAAGAAGGCCUUCGGGUUGUAAAGCACUUUCAGUCGUGAGGAAGGUAGUGUAGUUAAUAGCUGCAUUAUUUGACGUUAGCGACAGAAGAAGCACCGGCUAACUCCGUGCCAGCCGC